AUACAGAGGGUGCGAGCGUUAAUCGGGAUUACUGGGCGUAAAGCGCGCGUAGGCGGCUUAUUAAGUCAGAUGUGAAAUCCCCGGGCUCAACCUGGGAACUGCAUCUGAUACUGGUAAGCUAGAGUUUUGGAGAGGGAAGUAGAAUUUCAGGUGUAGCGGUGAAAUGCAUAGAGAUCUGAAGGAAUACCAGUGGCGAAGGCGACUUCCUGGCCAAAAACUGACGCUGAGGUGCGAAAGCGUGGGUAGCAAACGGGAUUAGAUACCCGGGUAGUCC
rnacentral:rRNA from 1 species